rnacentral:rRNA from 1 species
UACAGAGGUCCCAAGCGUUGUUCGGAUUCACUGGGCGUAAAGGGUGCGUAGGCGGCCUGACAAGUCUGAUGUGAAAUCCCUGGGCUCAACCCAGGGCCUGCAUCGGAAACUGUCGGGCUUGAGUAUGGGAGAGGUGAGUGGAAUUUCCGGUGUAGCGGUGAAAUGCGCAGAUAUCAGGAAGAACACCCGUGGCUAAGGCGGCUCUCUAGUACGGUACUGACGCUGAGACGCGAAAGCGUGGGGAGCGAACAGG